GACGAACGCUGGCGGCGUGCCUAAUACAUGCAAGUAGAACGCAGUUGCGAACGGGUGAGUAACGCGUAGGUAACUGCCUCAUAGCGGGGGAUAACUAUUGGAAACGAUAGCUAAUACCGCAUACUAUGAGAUGGACCUGCGUUGUAUUAGGUAGUUGGUGAGGUAAAGGCUCACCAAGGCGACGCUACAGAGCCGACCUGAGCGGGUGAGUGGGCAAAAUGGGACGUAGACACGGCCCAGACCCCGUCGGGAGGCAGCAGGAGGGAAACUUCGGCAAUGGACGGAAGUCUGAACGAGGAACGCCGCGUUAGUGAAGAAGGUUCUUGGAGUGUAAAGCUCUGUUGUUAGAGAAGCGGUAACUAACCAGAAAGCGACGGCUAACUACGUGCCAGCAGCCGCGGUAAUAC
rnacentral:rRNA from 1 species